rnacentral:lncRNA from 1 species
AGUGCUCUGCUCAAAACCGUCUUCGCAUGAGGCGGGUAUCUUUGCAGGCUGCAAGGCGCUGCUCUAGGUCUCGGAUAGUGUUCUGCAGACUUGCAAUUUCUUUGCUCUUUUCUUCCUGAAGAUGCUGAAGCUUCUAAAUGAAGCAGAAAUAAGUCUGUCACAGCAACUUAGAGGUAAGGUUAGGUAUAGUGAACCACAAAACAACAAUCACAACACUUGUAUUUUAACAGACUAGCUUACUCUGAAAGGCCUGCCCUCUCAUUUUUGUGUGAUUUAUGGAGAAAAACUAUUUUAAGGCUACAAAAAGAAUUUAAUAUAUUUAAAACAAGUAUUAGGUAAUUUUUAUAGGAACAUCCUAAGACAAUUAAUUUUCUGAAGUUACAGUUAUGGGACAGAAUGCACAUACCCUUCUGUAGAUACUCUGCAGCAAAAUAGUCGUGUCCGGAUAUGAUUUUGAUUUAGUCUGAGCUCUUGCUAGUUUAGUGUCAAACUGAACCAAAUUAAAAAAGAGAAUGUUAUUAAGGGUGUUAUAGUUUAAAUACUUACAAACAAUGUUUCUGGAGGAAAAGUAUACCUUUGCUAUGUAUUUUGUAAUUGAACACAUUCCAUUUAACAGACAGAAAAACCUUUAUGAAAUAAUCCAGAAAAAAGAACAAGGAACAUGCAAACAAGAGUCAGCUAGGUGUGGGGUUAAAACUGCAGUGGUGGCUUUACAAAGAGCCAGACACCACUGGGCACAACCUCCAUAUGUGGCACAGGGCUUUUUCUCAAACCCCACUGCUCCUCCCACUCCUCCACAUGAGGCAUGUGCUUGACCACUGAGCCAGGAAAGCUCUUCAUGUUACAACUGGUGUACUUUUGUCAGUAAAAAACAAAGCAGUGUGAGUCACAGCCUUAGGAGAGAAGCUCACAUGUCUUUCAAACUUUGAAGCCAAACAUUAAAAUUUGGGUGUGAUUUAGUUGAUUCAGGCUUUUAUAAAAACUUAAAUUGAAUCAAGUUAAAAGACAGUCUUCUCAUAAGCCAUUUUUUUUUUUUGCCCAGUAUUCCACUAUAAUUCUUCCUUUUAUAUUUAUCUUAGCAUGUCCUCUGAGAAAACUAGAAUAAGUUUUCCAUGAGCUUGUGUUCUGUCUUAAGGAGAGAAUGGAUAGUUACAAUGAAGAUACAUACAGACAUCUGAUUACUAUUCAAACAGCAUAAUCAGACUAGACUAGUGACAUGGUCCAGAUAACAAAUAAAAUGCAGCUCCUAACUGAUAGAUUACAAGUUGGUGGUACAUCUUGAAAUAAGGCUUGUUGUAUGUCAGUUGACCAUCCAGCCCUCUCUGUGGAAUACUUGACUAGGGUAUGGCCCCAGCAGUACAGCAGCACAGUGGUAGCCAUAACAACAGCAAAAUCCCUCUGAAGCAACAAGCAUUUCCCCGCUUCUGCCCCAUAUGGUUACAUACAGACUCCUAACAAGUACUCUAGGCAUAGCAAAGUUCCUGGUAAAUAAACAGUAAAUUAUAUCAAUUAAGAUCUGUGAAUAUUUGCAGAAUGUAAAUUAGAAGUAGAGAUGAGUAGAAGCUAUGGUACAAUAAUUAAAAAAAAAAGAUGUUGGUAGAUUUUAGAAAAAAUGCAAAAGACAUAAAAGAUUCUGCUGAUUCUGCUAACGCAUCAGUGUCCUGGAGAUUCUGACACAAGGCUGAACAGCUCAUUGAAAAGAACAAAGAACUAGAACAUUUAUGAGAUACACUUACGUAAAAUACAUUUACAAAUAUUUCAAAGGAAUUUUGUCUCUUGAAUGUAUAUAUCUUCAUAGGAAUAUAUUAUGGAGAAAUUUGUCUUGUUUUUAUCCCAAAUAAAACGAAAGGGUUCUGUGGUUUCUUCUGGGGACAGAGAAAUACUGAGGGUCCCCAUGCUUUUCCCUUGCUGGGAUGAUAGCCUUAUGUUGCCUGCAUAGACUAGACUGGAAGACCAGGGGACUCCUGAGUUAUUGCCCGCAUUCUGAGAGGAAGCAAUAUCCUUCCUGGAAGCGAGGACCGCCUUCAGAUCAAGUGCUAGAAAGCCGAUGUCCUAUAGACUGAGCAUGGCUUUUGCUGAAGAAUAAGCACGUGUGAUGUCUUCUAUCUAGGUCUGAAAUUUAUGUCAUUGCAAUAAGAAAUAACAAAGUGCGGUUUACACUAAGGAGCGUGCUCCUGUUUAGCCGACUCAUAAACACCUACUUCUAGAUGCAGUCUGAGGAUUUCAUUUUGCUUUUCCUUCUCCUGAGUCCUCAACUUUGCAUUUAACUCUGAUAUUUCCAUCUCCUUCCUUGCCAUUAGUUCUUUGUGCUUUUCUUCAUUUAGUUCAACUAAAUAAAACAGAAACAAAUUCAUUCACUUAACAAUUCAAAGUUAUGUGAUUUCAUUUCUUUAUUUUACAUUUACUUAUUCAACAUGUUUAUUGCUCACCUAGGCAUUAUACUAAACACUCCAUGCAAACUACACGUGUUGCAUGUUUUCACUGAAUUUCUACUUUAGGUAGGAGACAAACAUUAAUUGCAACUGUGAUUGGGACAAUGCAGGAGAAACACAGCAAUGUGCUGACAGCUUGGGAGAAAAUUCUAUUACUUGCAUUUUCCAUCACUGAAACAAAAUAUCCAACAAGAAGCAAUUUAGGGGAAGAAAGUUUUAUUUUGGUUCAUGGUAUGAGUAGAUUCAAGCCCUGAUGUGGAGAAGGCAUAGCCAAGGUGGCUCUGUGGUGCUGGGAGUUUGCAGUAGCUGCUUGGUCUCAGUGGACCAGGGAGCAGACACAAGUGGGGCUCAACUAUAAAACUCAAGGUUUACCACCCCAGUGACACAUUUCCUCCAGGCAGGCCCUACCUCCUAAAGGUUCCGCAGUCUCUCAAAACAGCAGCAACUAGGGUCCAAGGGUUCAAACACAUUAGCCUGUGGGUGACAUUUCACACCCAAAAGAUAAGAGAAUUGUUAACCAAAUUUGUUGGGUGAGCCUAAGAUGGAAGGGGCUUUUCUCAGGAUGCUAUCUUUAAGGCAGAACUGCACAUAAAAGUUAUUUUGCUAGGUACAGUUGUUACAUCAAAUGAGAGCUGAUGAGAGAAAUGCUGGCUUGUCUCAGGAGAAAGUAACAAGAGGUACAUGGUAAGCCCCUUACCCAGAGGUCGUUUUACAUUGUGGUUUGAAUGGGAAGUCUGGCUGCAUAGCUUUGUCAUUGGUAUGCAUGUAGUGUCCUAGACUGUGCAAAGCACAUCAUUGUGAGGUGGUCUGAGUAAGAAUGGUCUCCAUAGGCAUAUAUAUAUAUAUAUGCCUAUGGAGAUAUAUAUAUAUAUAUAUAUAUAUAUAUAUAUAUGAAUGUGUAGCCUCCAGGGGAUGGCUCUAUAUGAAACGAUUAGGAAGGGUGAAGUUUCAAAAGCCCUUGUCAAGCUUAGUCUCUCUGCCAAAGGAUCCAGAUACAGCUCUCAGCUGCUGCUCUAGCUCCUACCUGCCAGUUGCCAUGUGCCCAACCAUGAUCAUAACGGACUAAAGUUCUGAAGCUAGAAUGUGCUUACAUUUUUAUUUUAUUUUUAAGUAAAUGAUUUUUAAGAAUGUGAAUUUUAUUAAUAAAUCAUAUUUUAAAAUUGUG